rnacentral:rRNA from 1 species
UACAGAGGUCCCAAGCGUUGUUCGGAUUCACUGGGCGUAAAGGGUGCGUAGGUGGCCAGGUAAGUUUGGUGUGAAAGCUCGGAGCUUAACUCCGAAAAGUCAUUGAAUACUAUCUGGCUGGAGGGUCGGAGGGGAGACUGGAAUUCUCGGUGUAGCAGUGAAAUGCGUAGAUAUCGAGAGGAAGACCAGUGGCGAAGGCGGGUCUCUGGACAGUUCCUGACACUGAGACACGAAGGCCAGGGGAGCAAACGGG